GACGAACGCUGGCGGCGUGCUUAACACAUGCAAGUCGAACGCUGAAGCUCAGCUUUUGUUGGGUGGAUGAGUGGCGAACGGGUGAGUAACACGUGAGUAACCUGCCUCCUUCUUUGGGAUAACGCCCGGAAACGGGUGCUAAUACUGGAUAUUCACUGGUCUUCGCAUGGGGGUUGGUGGAAAGGGUUUUUCUGGUGGGGGAUGGGCUCGCGGCCUGUCAGCUUGUUGGUGGGGUGAUGGCCUAACAAGGCUUUGACGAGUGGCCGGCCUGAGCGGGUGAACGGGAACUUUGACACGGUGAUGCCGCCCAGGCUACGAAGCGGGAGGGCAGUGGGGGAUAUUGGAGAAUGGGUGAAGGAGUAACGCAGCGUCGGCGAGGGAGGGAUGGGGGCCUUCGGGUUGUGAAACUAGGUCGGUCAUGAUGAAGCCGCAACAAUGGUUGUGGUGAGGGUAGUGGGUAAAGAAGCGCCGGCUAACUACGUG
rnacentral:rRNA from 1 species